GAGUCCCCUUCACCUUUUCCUAGCUGGUGCCAGGUUCACAGAACAAUUGCUGUGGCUGUGAGUCCUGAGCAAGGAAUAACCUGUCUCGGGGAUGGAACCGGUGAGGCAGGCAAGAUAAAGACUCCAAAUUUCUUCAUUUGAAGAGUGAAUCUUCUCAAGAAGACGUUUAUGUUUGUUGGAGCAAUAAUUCCAGGCACUAUUCUACAGACCAACACGAGUCUGUGUUGAAGUGUUCUCAGUGAAAUAAGAAAAAUUGGGGC
rnacentral:lncRNA from 1 species